GGAAGAGACAGGGUAUAGGUCAACACACUGUCAUAGGCUGAGGUCUGGAGGGAAGAGACAGGGUAUAGGUCAACACACUGUCAUAGGCUGAGGUCUGGAGGGAAGAGACAGGGUAUAGGUCAACACACUGUCAUAGGCUGAGGUCUGGAGGGAAGAGACAGGGUAUAGGUCAACACACUGUCAUAGGCUGAGGUCUGGAGGGAAGAGACAGGGUAUAGGUCAACACACUGUCAUAGGCUGCCUGUAAGGCUGAGGUCUGGAGGGGAGAGACAGGGUAUAGGUCAACACACUGUCAUAGGCUGAGGUCUGGAGGGGAGAGACAGGGUAUAGGUCAACACACUGUCAUAGGCUGAGGUCUGGAGGGGAGAGACAGGGUAUAGGUCAACACACUGUCAUAGGCUGAGGUCUGGAGGGGAGAGACAGGGUAUAGGUCAACACACUGUCAUAGGCUGAGGUCUGGAGGGGAGAGACAGGGUAUAGGUCAACACACUGUCAUAGGCUGAGGUCUGGAGGGAAGAGACAGGGUAUAGGUCAACACACUGUCAUAGGCUGCCUGUAAGGCUGAGGUCUGGAGGGGAGAGACAGGGUAUAGGUCAACACACUGUCAUAGGCUGAGGUCUGGAGGGAAGAGACAGGGUAUAGGUCAACACACUGUCAUAGGCUGCCUGUAAGGCUGAGGUCUGGAGGGAAGAGACAGGGUAUAGGUCAACACACUGUCAUAGGCUGAGGUCUGGAGGGGAGAGACAGGGUAUAGGUCAACACACUGUCAUAGGCUGCCUGUAAGGCUGAGGUCUGGAGGGAAGAGACAGGGUAUAGGUCAACACACUGUCAUAGGCUGAGGUCUGGAGGGGAGAGACAGGGUAUAGGUCAACACACUGUCAUAGGCUGAGGUCUGGAGGGAAGAGACAGGGUAUAGGUCAACACACUGUCAUAGGCUGCCUGUAAGGCUGAGGUCUGGAGGGAAGAGACAGGGUAUAGGUCAACACACUGUCAUAGGCUGCCUGUAAGGCUGAGGUCUGGAGGGAAGAGACAGGGUAUAGGUCAACACACUGUCAUAGGCUGCCUGUAAGGCUGAGGUCUGGAGGGAAGAGACAGGGUAUAGGUCAACACACUGUCAUAGGCUGAGGUCUGGAGGGGAGAGACAGGGUAUAGGUCAACACACUGUCAUAGGCUGCCUGUAAGGCUGAGGUCUGGAGGGAAGAGACAGGGUAUAGGUCAACACACUGUCAUAGGCUGCCUGUAAGGCUGAGGUCUGGAGGGAAGAGACAGGGUAUAGGUCAACAGACGGUCAUAGGCUGCCUGUAAGGCUGAGGUCUGGAGGGGAGAGACAGGGUGUAGGUCAACACACUGUCAUAGGCUGAGGUCUGGAGGGGAGAGACAGGGUAUAGGUCAACAGACUGUCAUAGGCUGAGGUCUGGAGGGGAGAGACAGGGUAUAGGUCAACAGACUGUCAUAGGCUGAGGUCUGGAGGGGAGAGACAGGGUAUAGGUCAACACACUGUCAUAGGCUGAGGUCUGGAGGGAAGAGACAGGGUAUAGGUCAACACACUGUCAUAGGCUGAGGUCUGGAGGGGAGAGACAGGGUAUAGGUCAACACACUGUCAUAGGCUGAGGUCUGGAGGGAAGAGACAGGGUAUAGGUCAACACACUGUCAUAGG